GCGCCCUUGGUGUACGGUAAACCCGUCUUCAUGGUACACUACUGCUGACGGGCACUUAACUCAAGACGAGUCCGGGGUUCGACUCCCCGAGGGCGUA